rnacentral:rRNA from 1 species
UACGUAGGUGGCAAGCGUUGUCCGGAAUUACUGGGUGUAAAGGGAGCGCAGGCGGGAAGCCAAGUCAGCUGUGAAAACUACGGGCUUAACUUGUAGACUGCAGUUGAGACUGGUUUUCUUGAGUGAAGUAGAGGUUGGCGGAAUUCCGAGUGUAGCGGUGAAAUGCGUAGAUAUUCGGAGGAACACCGGUGGCGAAGGCGGCCAACUGGGCUUUAACUGACGCUGAGGCUCGAAAGUGUGGGGAGCAAACAGG